GAUGCGGGCCAGCGCUUGUGGAUCGUCCGCGGCCAUGUUCAUGAGCACGCCAAUGCGCCGCGCCCGCUCGCGCGGCUGUCCCGGUGCCCCGAUGAAGUCGUGCGAGUAGACGGAGAGCCGUGCCCACCCGCCGUCGCGCUGAUGUGAGGUCAUGCGAAAACGACUGGUCGCCUGCGCUCCAUCCGAGCUACGCUGCGACGGCGUUUUUUGCAUCUCAAUC
rnacentral:misc_RNA from 1 species